rnacentral:rRNA from 1 species
AACACAUGCAAGUCGAACGGUAACAGGAAGCAGCUUGCUGCUUUGCUGACGAGUGGCGGACGGGUGAGUAAUGUCUGGGAAACUGCCUGAUGGAGGGGGAUAACUACUGGAAACGGUGGCUAAUACCGCAUAACGUCGCAAGACCAAAGAGGGGGACCUUCGGGCCUCUUGCCAUCAGAUGUGCCCAGAUGGGAUUAGCUUGUUGGUGAGGUAACGGCUCACCAAGGCGACGAUCCCUAGCUGGUCUGAGAGGAUGACCAGCCACACUGGAACUGAGACACGGUCCAGACUCCUACGGGAGGCAGCAGUGGGGAAUAUUGCACAAUGGGCGCAAGCCUGAUGCAGCCAUGCCGCGUGUAUGAAGAAGGCCUUCGGGUUGUAAAGUACUUUCAGCGGGGAGGAAGGUGUUGUGGUUAAUAACCGCAGCAAUUGACGUUACCCGCAGAAGAAGCACCGGCUAACUCCGUGCCAGCAGCCGCGGUAAUACGGAGGGUGCAAGCGUUAAUCGGAAUUACUGGGCGUAAAGCGCACGCAGGCGGUCUGUCAAGUCGGAUGUGAAAUCCCCGGGCUCAACCUGGGAACUGCAUUCGAAACUGGCAGGCUUGAGUCUUGUAGAGGGGGGUAGAAUUCCAGGUGUAGCGGUGAAAUGCGUAGAGAUCUGGAGGAAUACCGGUGGCGAAGGCGGCCCCCUGGACAAAGACUGACGCUCAGGUGCGAAAGCGUGGGGAGCAAACAGGAUUAGAUACCCUGGUAGUCCACGCCGUAAACGAUGUCUACUUGGAGGUUGUGCCCUUGAGGCGUGGCUUCCGGAGCUAACGCGUUAAGUAGACCGCCUGGGGAGUACGGCCGCAAGGUUAAAACUCAAAUGAAUUGACGGGGGCCCGCACAAGCGGUGGAGCAUGUGGUUUAAUUCGAUGCAACGCGAAGAACCUUACCUGGUCUUGACAUCCCCAGAACUUUCCAAAGAUGGAUUGGUGCCUUCGGGAACUGUGAAACNGGUGCUGCAUGGCUGUCUCCACCCCUGGUUUGAAAUGUUGGUUAAAUCCCCCAACAAGNNCAACCCUUAUCCUUGUUUGCCAGCGGUCCGGCCGGGAACUCCAAGGGAACNGCCNGUNNNAACUGGAGAAAGNNGGGANAACUCCAAUUNNNUUGGCCCUUUAAACCAGGGUNCCCNCNNNNNAANGGGCCANNAAAAAAANNAC